rnacentral:misc_RNA from 1 species
GAAAUGCGAUAAGUAGUGUGAAUUGCAGAAUUCAGUGAAUCAUCGAAUCUUUGAACGCACAUUGCGCCCUUUGGUAUUCCUUAGGGCAUGCCUGUUCGAGCGUCAUCUAAACCUUCAAGCCCUGUUUGGUGUUGGGUGCCUGUCCCGCCUCCGCGCGCGGACUCACCUCAAAUCCAUUGGCGGCCCCCGCGUCGGCCACGAGCGCAGCAGAAACGCGAACUCGUGAGCCCGUCCGGGCGGCUCCCAGAAGCUACACCCACCCAGUUUGACCUCGGAUCAGGUAGGGAUACCCGCUGAACUUAAGC